GUACGGGAGGCAGCAGUCGAGAAUUUUUCACAAUGGGCGCAAGCCUGAUGGAGCGACGCCGCGUGGGGGAUGAAUGGCUUCGGCCCGUAAACCCCUGUCAUUCGCGAUCAAACGUUAUUAUUUAAAAGAUGAUGACCUGAUAGUAGCGGAAGAGGAAGGGACGGCUAACUCUGUGCCAGCAGCCGCGGUAAUACAGAGGUCCCAAGCGUUGUUCGGAUUCACUGGGCGUAAAGGGUGCGUAGGUGGUGAGGUAAGUCGGAUGUGAAAUCUCGGAGCUUAACUCCGAAACUGCAUUGGAAACUACCUCGCUCGAGGGUUGGAGGGGGGACUGGAAUGCUUGGUGUAGCAGUGAAAUGCGUAGAUAUCAAGCGGAACACCAGUGGCGAAGGCGAGUCCCUGGACAACUCCUGACACUGAGGCACGAAAGCUAGGGGAGCAAACAGGAUUAGAUACCCCGGU
rnacentral:rRNA from 1 species